AAAUUGAAGAGUUUGAUCAUGGCUCAGAUUGAACGCUGGCGGCAGGCCUAACACAUGCAAGUCGAACGGUAACAGGAAGCAGCUUGCUGCUUCGCUGACGAGUGGCGGACGGGUGAGUAAUGUCUGGGAAGCUGCCUGAUGGAGGGGGAUAACUACUGGAAACGGUAGCUAAUACCGCAUAAUGUCGCAAGACCAAAGAGGGGGACCUUCGGGCCUCUUGCCAUCGGAUGUGCCCAGAUGGGAUUAGCUUGUUGGUGGGGUAACGGCUCACCAAGGCGACGAUCCCUAGCUGGUCUGAGAGGAUGACCAGCCACACUGGAACUGAGACACGGUCCAGACUCCUACGGGAGGCAGCAGUGGGGAAUAUUGCACAAUGGGCGCAAGCCUGAUGCAGCCAUGCCGCGUGUAUGAAGAAGGCCUUCGGGUUGUAAAGUACUUUCAGCGGGGAGGAAGGGAGUAAAGUUAAUACCUUUGCUCAUUGACGUUACCCGCAGAAGAAGCACCGGCUAACUCCGUGCCAGCAGCCGCGGUAAU
rnacentral:rRNA from 1 species